GAAAGAAAUAAACAGGAAAUCUGUCCCAAUAUAUGAGGAAUCGAAAAAUAUUGAAUAAAAAAAAUAAAAUUAUUUAUUCAAUAUUUUUCGAUUCCUCAUAUAUUGGGACAGAUUUCCUGUUUAUUUCUGUUA